AAAAAUUUGCUUUAAACAAAAUUCCUACCAAACGUGUGGUAAUGAAGCAGACAAUCCUUAAAGUUUCAAUGAAACAAUCCUCCAGAUUCAAAUUACGAAGAGAAAUAAAGAGGAAGCAAGCAAAAGGACAGAGAAAGAGAAGAGCGCAAGGGGAAGAGGAAGAGCCCCGUUUCUGUUCCUUUUCGAUUUGUCUCCCCUGCCACAGCCCACGGGAUGGUAUGUUUUCUUGAUUUGUAUUCAUCUUUCUUUGGUUUAUUGAGGGUUGGUUUCGCCGGCUAAGAUUCUCCCUCUAGUCGAUCGAUUUUGCUUUUUGAUCUUUGUUUGUUCAGUUUUUUCAGAGCUGUGGAUGCUUUGGUUGAGAGUUCUUACCACAUCUGAUGGUGUGCUUCAGGUAGAAGUUUCCUACUACACUUGAAGGAUAUGUAGUUUGCAUGGAUUGGUGGUGGUCCUUAGGAGAAUUGAGGCCACUCUUCUGAGAUUGGCUUCCCUUAAGGCCAUAAAGAUGUCGAUGUCUCCUUCAUUGCACCCUAUCGCCGAUGCAUUGUUGAUUCAGGGUUUCUGAGGUUUACAUCCAUAGUUGCCUGCGCGUUUCUUAUGGUUUUGUAAGCUUGUUAUGCUGUGGUCUUUGUCCCAGCGGUGGUGGCUUGUGAGCUGAUUGGUGGCAGUGCUUGGUUACAGUGGCGAUGCUAGUUGUUGGAAUGUGGCUACUGGAGCUGGGUUUUAUGGGUAUGAGCUACUUUGGGCUUGAGUGAGUUGUGCUAUAUUGUAUGAAAAGCAUAAAAAAUAGGAAGAUUUACAAUUUAGUCC
rnacentral:lncRNA from 1 species